AAGUCGUAACAAGGUUUCCGUAGGUGAACCUGCGGAAGGAUCAUUAACACGUAUCCAACGUUUUUAAACCAAUCUGUGAACUUUUGUAACUCGUGUUGAGCUUGGUCGAUUGACUGAGACACUUUGGGGGUGGCAAUUAAAAGCAAAGACUUGACGAGAUUAGGCUUUCACGGCUUUCUCUGCAGUCAUUUCCUUCUUUUUUUUUACUAACCCGAGGUUGCUCUGACCAAUGCUCAUAAAUUUUAACUAACCAAUUUUAACCCCUUGUACUUUACCAUUGUACUAAACUACUUUUUUUCCACAAAUUUUUAAUUUGAGGAAAACAAGAUUUACGAAACUAAGAUACAACUCUUAGCAACGGAUAUCUUGGCUCUC
rnacentral:misc_RNA from 1 species